GACACUAUAGCCAAGUGGUUACGGCGACAGAUUAGAACUGUACCUCAGUAGACGUUGCUGUUAUCUGUUUCCCUUUGGGAGCGUAGGUUCGAACCCUACUGGUGUCG